GAUGAACGCUGGCGGCGUGCCUAACACAUGCAAGUCGAACGAAUUGCUUUAAAGGAAGUUUUCGGAUGGAAUUUAAAGUAGUUAGUGGCGGACGGGUGAGUAACGCGUGGGAAACCUGCCCUAUACAGGGGGAUAGCCUCGGGAAACUGGGAUUAAUACCCCAUAAAACUCUAGUAUCGCAUGAUACAUGAGCCAAAGAUUUAUCGGUAUAGGAUGGUCCCGCGUCUGAUUAGCUAGUUGGUGAGGUAACGGCUCACCAAGGCGACGAUCAGUAGCCGGCCUGAGAGGAUGUACGGCCACACUGGGACUGAGAUACGGCCCAGACUCCUACGGGAGGCAGCAGUUGGGAAUCUUAGGCAAUGGACGAAAGUCUGACCUAGCGACGCCGCGUGAGGGAAGAAGGCCUCGGUUGUAACUCUGUCAUGGGGAAGAAGUAAGUGACGGUACCCAACGAGGAAGGCCCCUCGCUAACUACGUG
rnacentral:rRNA from 1 species